ACCAGUAUCAUUCGUUCUCAUGAAUUAAGAUGAAGCAAUUUCGAUUUCAACCUGGGGUAAUGGAUUUAGGUUCUAAUUUUGGCCAAAGGUGAGAGAGGAAUUUUGAAUGAAAUAAAUAAAUAUGGCUUAGGAAAAUUCUAAUUCUGAGAAAAUCGAUGAGUUUUUCAAUUUUAAGCAAACCAAAAUCCUAUGGUCACGCGAGUCCUAUCAUGCCUCAAAAAUUUACAAAGUAAGAACAAUGCGGGCUCUACUCGUGUGUUUAUCAUGAAAACAAGUCAAGAUAAACAUCAUGGUCAAGAUGAAAAAUCUGAUAGGAUAGGGAUAUAUGGUUCUCUAUUCCAAGAAAAAUCAAAUAAAAAUUUGGAUGGCUCAAUUCAUUGGUUUAUCAAAAAGAGAGGAAUAGAAAAUGACUGAGCGAAUAAAACUUCAAAUAUUAUUCUAACUGAAGGUUCAACUUAUUAAAUGUUCACCUAGUAUGACGUAGCAAAAUCUGUGACUCACUUACUUGACUCUUCAAAUGAUUCCAGGGUUGUCCUCCCAAUAGCUUAUUCUUAACUCGAUCAUCCGGUUGCCUCCCACAAAGCGCUUCAUUUAUAGUCUAUAACUAGACGCUUCAAUUCUUCGAUUUGGACUAGCGCUCAGUGUCAGCGCUACAUUAUUCAGCACCCACUUCUUCACCAUCUAUGGCUUUGCUGUAGGCAUAGGCUUGGCUAUCUUUUUGGUCUUCAUAGGCUGGCGUUCUUCCUUCUUCUGGACGAUCACAACUUCUUCUACUGGCUUCUUUUCUUCUGCCUUCUUGUUCUUCUCCUCCUGCUUGACACGACGAUGUGGCAGUAUAUACUUGCUAGAAAUCAUGUUACAGACCUCAAAGCAUGGGCAAAACUUGAACGCGCUCAUAGUGCCAUUGAUGUCGAAC
rnacentral:lncRNA from 1 species